GUGGACAUUUAUGAAGACGAUCAGCCUGCAAAGAAACUGGGUUUUGAUGCAAUGACACCGAAGAAGAAUCAAAUAUGCAGCCCAAUGAAAGAUUCUCCGAAGACGGACAGUGGAAGUGUAGAGAUCAUUUCAUAUGGA